UACGAGGGGGGCGAGCGUUGUUCGGAAUUAUUGGGCGUAAAGGGCGCGUAGGCGGUUUGACAAGUCUUGUGUGAAAUCUUCGGGCUCAACUCGAAGUCUGCACGAGAAACUGUCAGGCUAGAGUGUGGGAGGGGUGCGUGGAAUUUCCGGUGUAGCGGUGAAAUGCGUAGAUAUCGGAAGGAACACCUGUGGCGAAAGCGGCGCACUGGACCACAACUGACGCUGAGGCGCGAAAGCUAGGGGAGCAAACAGG
rnacentral:rRNA from 1 species